AAAAGGUAGCAUAAUCAAUUGGCUUAUAAUUGAAGUCUAGUAUGAAUGGGAAUUCGGGGAAUAGCUAUCUAAGUUUAGAUAACAUAAAUUACUUAAUGAGUGAAAAGUCUCAUAAACAGAAGAAAGACGAGAAGACCCUAGAAAUUUUAUUAUUAAAUUCUAUAUACUAUUUUGUUGGGGCGACAUAGUAACAAAUAACUUACUAUACUAUACAAGCUACUAAUGAGUUGCGAGAAUAAAUUACUCUAGGGAUAACAGCAUUAUUCAAUAUGAGUUUAUGACCUCGAUGUUGGACUAGGAAAUAAUUUUUUUAGAAGAUAAAUUAUCCAAGCUCUGUUCGAGCUCUACCUCCUACAU
rnacentral:rRNA from 1 species